UACGUAGGGAGCGAGCGUUGUCCGGAUUCAUUGGGCGUAAAGCGCUUUAAGGCGGUUCGCUAAGUCGCGUGUGAAACCUCCAGGCUCAACCUGGAGACGCCACGCGAUACUGGCGUGACUAGAGUUCGGUAGGGGAUCACGGAAUUCCUGGUGUAGCGGUGAAAUGCGCAGAUAUCAGGAGGAACACCGGUGGCGAAGGCGGUGAUCCGGGCCGACACUGACGCUGUAGAGCGAAAGCGUGGGGAGCGAACAGG
rnacentral:rRNA from 1 species